rnacentral:rRNA from 1 species
AUUGAACGCUGGCGGCAGGCCUAACACAUGCAAGUCGAACGCACCGCAAGGUGAGUGGCGCACGGGUGAGUAACACGUGGGAAUGUACCCUUUGGUUCGGAAUAACGUUUGGAAACGAACGCUAAUACCGGAUGAGCCCUGCGGGGGAAAGAUUUAUCGCCAAAGGAGCAGCCCGCGUCUGAUUAGCUAGUUGGUGGGGUAAAGGCCUACCAAGGCGACGAUCAGUAGCUGGUCUGAGAGGAUGAUCAGCCACACUGGGACUGAGACACGGCCCAGACUCCUACGGGAGGCAGCAGUGGGGAAUAUUGGACAAUGGGCGCAAGCCUGAUCCAGCCAUGCCGCGUGAGUGAUGAAGGCCUUCGGGUUGUAAAGGCUACUUUCGCACGCGACGAUGAUGACGGUAGCGUGAGAGAAGCCCGGCUAAC